CUCUGUGACUCCUACGGGGAGGCAGCAGUGGGGAAUAUUGCACAAUGGGGGAAACCCUGAUGCAGCCAUGCCGCGUGUGUGAAGAAGGCCUUCGGGUUGUAAAGCACUUUCAGUAGGGAGGAAGGUAGUGUAGUUAACACCUGCAUUAUUUGACGUUACCUACAGAAGAAGCACCGGCUAACUCCGUGCCAGCAGCCGCGGUAAUACGGAGGGUGCGAGCGUUAAUCGGAAUUACUGGGCGUAAAGCGCAUGCAGGCGGCCUGUUAAGUCAGAUGUGAAAGCCCGGGGCUUAACCUCGGAAUUGCAUUUGAAACUGGCAGGCUAGAGUCUUGUAGAGGGGGGUAGGAAUUUCAGGUGUAGCGGUGAAAUAGCGUAGAGAUCUGAAGGAAUACCAGUGGCGAAGGCGGCCCCCUCGGACAAAGACUGACGCUCAGAUGCGAAAGCGUGGGGAGCAAACAGGAUUAGACACCCUGGUAG
rnacentral:rRNA from 1 species